CCCCCGGAGACCGAUGAUGAUCCGGUCAUCUGUUACUUCCCGGUCAAGGAUCUGUAUCUGUCCGCAGAGCAACAAGGCAAGCAAACCCCCUUGAUCAUUCCUAUAUCACCCAUUUUCUUUAUCCCUCAUGCUUGCAUUAGAAUUUUUCUACUGUUGUAGUUAGCUCCUAUAUCUGAUGCAUAGCCUAAUUUUGAUGAACUCUUACUUUCCAGUACCACACUUUAAACUGCUUAGUAUAGGUGGCUUUGUCAUCCCCUCUGACCCUUAAUCCAGUUGCCCCCAUGUUAUCGUCAAGUCUCGAUCCCUGAUCGACGAGCCAAGACCCGACACAGCACUCACAACCCCCUUAGUUGUACAACGCUGCAGAGCUACUAUCAGGUACCGAGGGUGACUCCUCGUGAAGUACUCAUGAUGCUACCUCUGUAGUGCAGCUAGUCGGCCGUGGUUAUCGAGGGUGAUUCCUCCUUCACCACUCCCGACGGUGACUUUGUCAUGCAACCCCUCAAGUGUGAGACCCUCGAGGGUGAUUCCUCUAAGUCCACCUUGACGGUUACAUUGUUCAGAAUCCAAUGAGGGUGAUGCCUCGGAUCCCCCUAAUGUUACAACUACACAGUUACUUGACCGUUAGUGGGAACAUUGUUGAAAUAAUGUUAGGCGGGUGGAUUCCCGUGUGUAUGUGUCGAUUAGUUAAUUAAAAUGUUAAUGGAUUUGGGUAUUUGAUCUGGGUUGGUCGGAGACCUUAUUCACACUAACCGUCUACGUGGGAGGAGUUAUGGGUUCUCGACGUCGUGGUAUCAGCCGAACCUCUUCAGACGUCAGCAAUGGAGCGGCACGCGCCCGAGUGGUCCGAAUAGGCAUCGCGCUUGUUAUAAGGGGUGCUAGGACUGACAUCGGCCGCCCUCACAUCAUGGGGGAGUGCAAAGGGUGAUGGGCCCAUGACCCAUGCGUGCUCAGGAUUUAGACCGGCGGGCUGGCCUCUCUGUUGAGCUUAGGUGGGGCUGCGACGUGUUGAUGUUUCGAGGUCGGGCAUGACCCAGGAAAGUGUGUCCGGACAGAGUUUAUUGAGCGUGACGGGGAAUAUGUGGUGCACCCCUGCAAGGAAGAACUUAUCUAUUUGAAUAGCCGUGUCCACGGUUAUAGGACGACUUGGAGUUGUGCCCCGAUCUUAUACAACUACAACAUUUACUUAAUUGGAAUGUUUGCUCCGGGAUUGCCUCCUCGUAGGGAGUAGAGGAAGGAUCUUUGGGCGUGACUUUAUUUAAUAUUGAUGCAACAAUAUUACUAUUAAUUGUGUUAUCUGUUCUACUCUAGUCUAUUCCUGCAAGACCCCUGAAGAUGCUACUCUUCGAUAGGACUAGACCUUCUCUCUCUUUCUCGCAUUGCUACAGCGAGUCCACAUAUAACCCCCUUCCUUUGAUACUCAUGCAUACUUAGCAUAGUUCUGAUGUCAGUCUUGCGAGUAUUUGGAUGAGUACUCACCGUUGCUUUGCUCCCCCUUUUCCCCUUGAUCCGUUGCAGCGACCAGAUGAUGGAGCCCAGGAGAUGGCGUAUCGUGCCGACGACGACUGCUACCCUGACGGAGCUAGCUACUACGUGGAGGCCGUUGAAGACCAAGAGUAGUUAGGAGGCUCCCAGACAGGAGGCCUCGCCUCAUUCGAUCGUUGUAUCUUUUGUGCUGGCCUUCUCUAAG
rnacentral:lncRNA from 1 species